UACGUAGGUGGCAAGCGUUGUCCGGAAUUAUUGGGCGUAAAGCGCGCGCAGGCGGUCCUUUAAGUCUGAUGUGAAAGCCCUCGGCUCAACCGAGGAGGGUCAUUGGAAACUGGAGGACUUGAGUGCAGAAGAGGAAAGUGGAAUUCCAAGUGUAGCGGUGAAAUGCGUAGAGAUUUGGAGGAACACCAGUGGCGAAGGCGGGUUGCUGGGCUGACACUGACGCUGAUGCGCGAAAGCCAGGGGAGCGAACGGG
rnacentral:rRNA from 1 species